CCUACGGGAGGCAGCAGUGAGGAAUAUUGGUCAAUGGCCGGAAGGCUGAACCAGCCAAGCCGCGUGAAGGACGAAGGUGCCAAGCAUUGUAAACUUCUUUUGUUAAGGGACAAAAUCAGGCUCGAGAGCCUGAUCGAGGGUACUUGAAGAAAAAGCAUCGGCUAACUCCGUGCCAGCAGCCGCGGUAAUACGGAGGAUGCGAGCGUUAUCCGGAUUUAUUGGGUUUAAAGGGUGCGUAGGCGGACUGUUAAGUCAGCGGUAAAAGCGCGGGGGUCAACCCCGGCGAACCGUUGAAACUGGCUGUCUUGAGGUGUAGAGAGGUGUGCGGAGUGCGCAGUGGAGCGGUG
rnacentral:rRNA from 1 species